rnacentral:rRNA from 1 species
AUUGAACGCUGGCGGCAUGCUUUACACAUGCAAGUCGAGCGGCAGCGCGGGGGGCAACCCUGGCGGCGAGCGGCGAACGGGUGAGUAAUGCAUCGGAACGUAUCCUGUAGUGGGGAAUAACUCACCGAAAGGUGAGCUAAUACCGCAUAAGCUCUGAGGAGGAAAGCGGGGGGACCGAAAGGCCUCGCGCUGCAGGAGCGGCCGAUGUCCGAUUAGCUAGUUGGUGAGGUAAAGGCUCACCAAGGCGACGAUCGGUAGCUGGUCUGAGAGGAUGAUCAGCCACACUGGGACUGAGACACGGCCCAGACUCCUACGGGAGGCAGCAGUGGGGAAUUUUGGACAAUGGGGGGAAACCCUGAUCCAGCCAUGCCGCGUGAGUGAAGAAGGCCUCGGGUUGU